rnacentral:misc_RNA from 1 species
UCCGCUUUACAGCGGCAGUUUGUUCCGAGUCCCCGACUUUACUCGCUGGUAACAGAACAUGAGGGUUGCGCUCGUUGCGGGACUUAACCCAACAUUUCACAACACGAGCUGACGACAGCCAUGCACCACCUGUACACCAGUAUCAAAGAGACCACUAUCUCUAGCAGCUUCCGGUGUAUGUCAAACCCAGGUAAGGUUCUUCGCGUUGCAUCGAAUUAAUCCGCAUGCUCCGCUGCUUGUGCGGGCCCCCGUCAAUUCCUUUGAGUUUUAGCCUUGCGGCCGUACUCCCCAGGCGGGGCACUUAGUGCGUUAGCGACGGCACGGGAGGAGUCGACACCUCCCACACCUAGUGCCCAUCGUUUACGGCGUGGACUAC